CAGCCGCCACGGGAAUACGGAGGGUGCAAGCGUUAAUCGGAUUUACUGGGCGUAAAGCGUGCGUAGGCGGCUUCUUAAGUCGGAUGUGAAAUCCCUGAGCUUAACUUAGGAAUUGCAUUCGAUACUGGGAAGCUAGAGUAUGGGAGAGGAUGGUAGAAUUCCAGGUGUAGCGGUGAAAUGCGUAGAGAUCUGGAGGAAUACCGAUGGCGAAGGCAGCCAUCUGGCCUAAUACUGACGCUGAGGUACGAAAGCAUGGGGAGCAAACAGGAUUAGAUACCCCCGUAGUCCCUGUCUCUUAUAC
rnacentral:rRNA from 1 species